rnacentral:rRNA from 1 species
UACAGAGGGUGCAAGCGUUAAUCGGAAUUACUGGGCGUAAAGCGCGCGUAGGUGGUUUGUUAAGUUGAAUGUGAAAGCCCCGGGCUCAACCUGGGAACUGCAUCCAAAACUGGCAAGCUAGAGUAUGGUAGAGGGUGGUGGAAUUUCCUGUGUAGCGGUGAAAUGCGUAGAUAUAGGAAGGAACACCAGUGGCGAAGGCGACCACCUGGACUAAUACUGACACUGAGGUGCGAAAGCGUGGGGAGCAAACAGG